rnacentral:rRNA from 1 species
UACGAGGGGGGCAAGCGUUGUUCGGAAUUAUUGGGCGUAAAGGGCGCGUAGGCGGUUUGACAAGUCUGAUGUGAAAUCUAUGGGCUCAACCCAUAGCCUGCAUUAGAAACUGUCGGGCUUGAGUAUGGGAGAGGUGAGUGGAAUUUCCGGUGUAGCGGUGAAAUGCGCAGAUAUCAGGAGGAACACCAAUUGCGAAGGCAGCUCGCUGGGACGUUACUGACGCUGAGACGCGAAAGCGUGGGGAGCAAACAGG